UGCUUCUAGAUGACAGGCCAGG
rnacentral:piRNA from 1 species